AUUGAACGCUGGCGGCAGGCUUAACACAUGCAAGUCGAGCGAGCGGCGGACGGGUGUGUCAUGUCUGGGACACUGCCUGAUGGAGGGGGAUGAUUACUGGAAACGGUAGCUAAUACCGCAUACCAUCAGAUGUGCCAAGAUGGGAUUAGCUAGUAGGUGGGGUAAAGGCUUACCGAGGCGACGAUCAAUAGCUGGUCUGAGAGGAUGACCGGCCACACUGGAACGGAGACACGGUCCAGACUCCUACGGGAGGCAGCAGUAGGGAAUAUUGCACAAUGGGCGAAAGCCUGAUGCAGCCAUGCCGCGUGUGUGAAGAAGGCCUUCGGGUUGUAAAGCACUUUCAGCGGGGAGGCGUUACUCACAGAAGAAGCACCGGCUAACUCCGUGCCAGCAGCCGCGGUAAUAC
rnacentral:rRNA from 1 species